rnacentral:rRNA from 1 species
AUUGAACGCUGGCGGCAGGCCUAACACAUGCAAGUCGAGCGCGCGGCGGACGGGUGAGUAAUGUAUGGGGACUGCUCGAUAGUGGGGGAUAACUACUGGAAACGGUGGCUAAUACCGCAUACUAUCGGAUAACCCAUAGGGGAUUAGCUAGUAGGUGGGGUAAAGGCUCACCUAGGCGACGAUCUCUAGCUGGUCUGAGAGGAUGAUAGGCCACACUGGGACUAAGACACGGCCCAGACUCCUACGGAGGCAGCAGGGGGGAAUAUUGAACAAGGGGCGCAAGUCUGAUGCAGCCAGGCCGCGUGUAUGAAGAAGGACUUAGGGUUGUAAAGUACUUUCAGCGGGGAGACGUUACCCGCAGAAGAAGCACCGGCUAACUCCGUGCCAGCGGCCGCGGUAUAC